AGUGAACGCUGGCGGCGUGCUUAACACAUGCAAGUCGAACGAGAACGGGUUAUAGCUUGCUAUAAUUGUCAGCUAAGUGGCGCACGGGUGAGUAAUGUAUAGGUAAUAUGCCUCUUACUAAGGGAUAACAAAUGGAAACGUUUGCUAAUACCUUAUACUCCUUAUUAACAGAAGUUAAUAAGGGAAAGAUUUAUUGGUAAGAGAUUAGCCUGUAUUGUAUCAGUUAGUUGGUGAGGUAAUGGCUUACCAAGACUAUGACACAUAACUGGUUUGAGAGGAUGAUCAGUCACACUGGAACUGAGACACGGUCCAGACUCCUACUGGAGGCAGCAGUGUGGAAUAUUGCACAAUGGACGAAAGGCUGAUGCAGCAACGCCGCGUGGAGGAUGACACAUUUCGGUGCGUAAACUCCUUUUAUAUGAGAAGAUAAUGACGGUAUUAUAUGAAUAAGCACCGGCUAACUCCGUGCCAUCCGCCGCCGUAA
rnacentral:rRNA from 1 species